CAGCAGCCGCGGUAAUACGUAGGGUGCAAGCGUUAAUCGGAAUUACUGGGCGUAAAGCGUGCGCAGGCGGUUAUAUAAGUCAGAUGUGAAAUCCCCGGGCUCAACCUGGGAACUGCAUUUGAGACUGUAUGGCUAGAGUGUGUCAGAGGGGAGUAGAAUUCCACGUGUAGCAGUGAAAUGCGUAGAUAUGUGGAGGAAUACCGAUGGCGAAGGCAGCCCCCUGGGAUAACACUGACGCUCAUGCACGAAAGCGUGGGGAGCAAACAGGAUUAGAUACCCCCGUAGUCCCUGUCUCUUAUAC
rnacentral:rRNA from 1 species